rnacentral:lncRNA from 1 species
UUCGAUUUCUACGUACUGUACGGGACACCCAAAAGGAAGAAGAGAGCGCCUUGCUCUGAAAAGUAUGGAUCACCUCCAAGAAUAACGCCCCUUCCCACAGGUUGGGUAACUGAUGAAAAAGCAUUAGAAAACAGUAAGGGGGAAUUCAGGAGACAGAGGCUCAAGGCGAUAUGCUGCACGUCGACUUAUCACAGAGGGAUAAUUCGACAGAAAACAAGCAGGAAGUAGAAAUAGAGGCUGCCGAAAAGGUUAUUU